rnacentral:rRNA from 1 species
CCUACGGGAGGCAGCAGUGGGGAAUAUUGCACAAUGGGCGCAAGCCUGAUGCAGCGACGCCGCGUGAGGGAUGACGGCCUUCGGGUUGUAAACCUCUUUCAGUAGGGAAGAAGCGAAAGUGACGGUACCUGCAGAAGAAGCGCCGGCUAACUACGUGCCAGCAGCCGCGGUAAUACGUAGGGCGCAAGCGUUAUCCGGAAUUAUUGGGCGUAAAGAGCUCGUAGGCGGUUUGUCGCGUCUGCCGUGAAAGUCCGGGGCUCAACUCCGGAUCUGCGGUGGGUACGGGCAGACUAGAGUGAUGUAGGGGAGACUGGAAUUCCUGGUGUAGCGGUGAAAUGCGCAGAUAUCAGGAGGAACACCGAUGGCGAAGGCAGGUCUCUGGGCAUUAACUGACGCUGAGGAGCGAAAGCAUGGGGAGCGAACAGGAUUAGAUACCCUGGUAGUCCAUGCCGUAAACGUUGGGCACUAGGUGUGGGGGACAUUCCACGUUUUCCGCGCCGUAGCUAACGCAUUAAGUGCCCGCCUGGGGNGACGCGCGAGCGUAACUACAANAGUAGUUAGAGGCGNGNGAGNGCGACGGCGACGACGAGGGAGGAGG